GCCCAGAAAAUUGAGUUAACGUAAAAUAAGCAUGGCUUGGAUGGUGUGAAGUGUGGGAAUGAGAAGGUUUCGGAAUCAAGGAACUGUUGUGUAUGAUUGUCUUUUUUAUAAAUAUCAGUCAUUUGAGAUAUCCUUGGUUUGUUGUAACAAGUUUGAUUUUUGUCUGUUUUUUCUUUUCUUUUUUUAUUUUUUGUAGAGAGAGAGAGAGAGAGAGAGGUGGUCGAAAAUUAUGGAAGUAGUGGAAACAAGUGGUACAAAGUCUCUAGCUAGGCGAACAUGAGAUGGAAGAGGAAAGCCUAACUAUCUAGGCUAGUAACCAUGACAAAUUGGAGUGGAAUUGGACAAUUUACAUCUUCUUUUCCCGCUGAAUAUGUUGGUUGACGAAGGGAAGAAGACCAUGUUUUUGGCAGCAGAAGUGACUCGGAAUAGACCUUCGAAGGUGCAGCUCCCUGGGGUAUUCUCAAAAGUUUCUACUCCAGAGGUCAAGUUUCCGAAGAACUGAUGAAGUGGUUGCGAAGUUGCUAAUACAGCUCAUUUAGGGUAGACGAAAUCAUCCGGGAAGUCACAGCAGAAGGCCAAUUUACUGUGUGGUCUCUGUACAAACUCUUGUAUAACAAAGGUGAGGAAUGAAAGAAAUCAAAGGAGCUUUGAGGGGAUUCCAAAAGAUUGGGUAUCAUAAGAUCCAAGAUCAUUGCAUCAGCUGCAGAAUGGGUAUCAUCUAGGAUGGAGUUGCGGCAACCGGCAAAGACAUGAUCGAAUGUAUUUCAGAGGGGUGGCUACGAUGAAAGAAACAAGAAUGCAGAGAGUAGGUAAAUAGAAACCACCACCUUAAGAGAGCAUAGGUGAAUAGAAACCACCUCCUAAAAAGACCAUGAAACUGAAUUUUGAUGGGAGUGAACCGGGAAUCCUGGAAGAGCUAGAAUAGGGGCGUUAGUGAGAGAUCAUAGAGGGAAUAUACUGCUCUCUUGAUGCAGACCGGCUUUGUGUUGCGCAACAAAUUCUAGGUCUGACGUUCUGGGGACCUUUACACCUAAUGGAGCUGAGAUGCAGGCACUACUUCAGGGACUGAAAUUAAUCUCAGAAGAUCAAGUGAACAUGAUUGUAGAAGGGAUUCAGUUAAUACCAUGGUGUCCUGGAUACACGACAGUGCCUCAGAAUUUGGUGAACUAGUGAGAUAAAAGAACUUCGCGAAAGUGAAGAUGCCAGUUUUAUACAUAUCUAUAGAUAAUCUAAUGAGGAGGCUGAAUGCUCUGGCAAAUAAUGGUAUAAAUUGGCAGGUAUAGUGGUAAAUAAAUAUUGGUUAUUUGCAUCGGUUGGUUGUGGCUAUGCAGCACUGUUUGCACCCCAAAUAGACUUGGUACAGCCGCACCUCAAAACGCUGCCACAAAAAUCAUAUUAGUGCCGGAAAAAUUUGUGAUGGCCAACUAGUCCAUUUAUGGAACUUGCUACAGACGUUGAAGCUAUAAAAUCUGGUAUAGAUUUGGCAAACCGCCUAAAAUAGACAACCCAAAAAAGUUGUUGCAUGAUCAGCCAGGACAUAAGUAGGGCCUUGAGAUAUUGUUCUUGUUUUUGGAUCCACGAUUGUCGUGGUGAAGAUGACCAUUUUGUAGUUUUCCGGCAUCAUAAUCGUUUUCCAAAAAUUGUUUCAUGCAUGUUGGACUGCAGUGCAAAAAGUGUAAAGUAUCAACCUUAAUGAUGGAUGUAAGUAGGUGUUUCAUCUAAAAACAAUGGAAACUAACAAUUCAAAUGUUUUCUUACAAGAAUUAUUAUUUUUAGUUUUUAAAAUUUAUUUAUUUUUUUAUAUUCAUGAUAUGCAUGUUAAUGUUAGAGACUCCAUGUCCUUAAAAAUUAAGUAAAAAAAUCCAUCUCAAAAAUAUAUUUAUUAAUAGACCUGCAUUUCUACAUAUGUGGGCUCGGCCAAAGAGACUGGGUCCUUGUUUUUCUUAUACUCUCAAGUGCAGUUAUAUAAAUCUGCAGCUUUACAAAAUACUUUUCUUUUCUUAAACAAAGAAAUUUUUUUUUAUUUCUUCUUUUUUUCACUAGUAUUAAAAAACAAUUAUCGUUUUUCUUGAUCUUAUUUUUGGAAAAGUGGUUUAUGCAUGGGCACACAACUAUAUUUGCAUCCCCCGAGGCAUCACACAUCCAUCUUUCAAGAUGGAUGUGAAGUGGUAUCCAAAAAAGGACAAACUUAAACGUUCUAAAAAAGCAAAACAUUUCCUUUAAAAAUCAUCUUUUUUAGUUCUUAUUUUUACCUUUAUUUUUUUUAACAGAUUCAUGAUCUUGAUUCUUGAGAUUAGUCCAAAUUCCAUCUAAAAAAUGGAUCAUGAAGAGGGGACACAUAUCUACAUAUGAAUCCUAGGACUCAUAAAAACCAUGUCUUCUAUUUUUUGUUUGAUUUUUAUCAUUAUAUUUAUUUACCAUUUUAAAGGCACGCGGUAAUGUUCUUGGCCUCCCGACCACUCUAUUCCUGCAAGCAAGGCUUUGUGCCCCCUUUUCUCUUUGAUUAAGCAUAUUUACUAAAAUGCCCCUAGCCUGUAUCUAAAUUGGUUGAAUUACCAAAAUAAAACCUUUAUUACUGAAAGGAUGUGUUUUUUAUAAGGUUGCAACCUUAAACAAUUCA